CAUGGAUUAGAUACCCAUUUAGUUCAGGUGAUAAACGAUGUUGAGGUGUCUCUUAUUCUAUAUUUCAAAGUGAAACUUAGAUCUAAAGAGUACUUCUUUAAGGAUAAACUUUAGUGGGUUGGUCGUUGUUUAGACCAAGGGUGGAAUAGAUGACUUAAUUCGAUGUUAUGCGUUUAAUCUUACUUGAUACGGUCGGUCAUGAAUGAAAGCAACCAUGUCUCAUACAGUAGUGCAUGGCUGCUUUAAAGGUAAUGUUUCUUGAUUGUUAGUUGACUCUCAAGAAUAUCCGAUGCGCUCAUCUCAUUUCAACAGUUAGUUUGAGUUAAGCCGAGUCAUUAUGCUCUGUUUAUUUUGGCUGUCCAUGUGUUACAAAAACUGUUGUUUUGUAGCCUAUGUUUUAUAGGUAUUUCUCAAGUUUGUUAUUCUAAUCUAGUAUUGUAACUUGGUAGUGAGGCAGGAAUCCUUAGUAAUCUUUUGUUCGUUUCUUUUAGGUGAAGGAAAGAUAAACUUUGUACAUACUGCCCGUCAAGCGCUGAGCUUAUGGAAUCUUUAUAUCAGUUAGGUAACGCAGUAUUAACUGUUUAUAUUUAAUGGUUGUUAAGUCGUAACAUGGUA
rnacentral:rRNA from 14 species